rnacentral:rRNA from 1 species
UUGGAGGGCAAGUCUGGUGCCAGCAGCCGCGGUAAUUCCAGCUCCAAUAGCGUAUAUUAAAGUUGUUGCAGUUAAAAAGCUCGUAGUUGAAUUUCGGAAUCAAUUUGUUGGUCGUGCCUCGGUACGUACUGGUAUUAUUGGUUUCUACCUUCUGAAGAACCUUGAUGUCAUUAAUUUGGUGUCUUGGGAAAUCAGGACUGUUACUUUGAAAAAAUUAGAGUGUUUAAAGCAAGCAAACGCUUGAAUACAUUAGCAUGGAAUAAUGAAAUAGGACGUUUGAUUCUAUUUUGUUGGUUUCUAGGAUCGACGUAAUGAUUAAUAGGGAUAGUUGGGGGCAUUAGUAUUCAAUUGUCAGAGGUGAAAUUCUUGGAUUUAUUGAAGACUAACUACUGCGAAAGCAUUUGCCAAGGAUGUUUUCAUUAAUCAAGAACGAAAGUUAGGGGAUCGAAGACGAUCAGAUACCGUCGUAGUCUUAACCAUAAACUAUGCCGACUAGGGAUCGGAUGAUGUUAAUUUUUUAAUGACUCAUUCGGCGCCUUACGGGAAAC